rnacentral:lncRNA from 10 species
GGCUCUCAGUCCCCGCCUCACGGGGAGUGCCUCCCCCCACUGCGAUGGGGGUCCUAAGAGCCAGGGGGGAAGAGGGGCUGGCUCUCAGUCCCUUCCUCGCGGGGGGUGCCUCCCGCCUCUGCGAUGGGGCUCCUAAGAGCCAGGGGGGGAAGACGGGCUCGCUCUCAGUAGCCGCCUCGCGGGGGGUGCCUCCCGCCCUGCGAUGGGGGUCCCAAGAGCCAGGGGGGGAUGAGGGGCUGGCUCUCUGUACUCGCCUCUCGAUGGGUGCCUCCCCGCCUGCGAUUGGGGUCCUAAGAGCCAGGGGGUAAGAGGGCCUAGCUCUGAGUCCCUGCCUCUCGGGGGGGUGCCUCCCCACCCUGCGAUGGCGGUCCCAAGUGUCAGGGGGGGAAGAGGGGGUGGCUGUCACUCCUCGGCUCGUGGAGGCUGUCUCCCACCACUGCGAUGGGGGUUCUAAGAGCCAGGGGGGAAGAGGGGCUGGUUCUCAGUCCCUGCCUCAGUGGGGGUGCCUCCCCCUCUGCGAUGGGGGUCCUAAGAGCCAGCGGAGGAAGAGGGGCUGGCUCUCAGUUCCCGCCUUUUUUUUUUUUCUCAGUGUUUUAGACGCCCAGUUGCACAACUUGAUUGCCUUACAAAUGACCUGCUUCCAGGAUGCGGAAAUUCCUAAUUUCUUCUGUGACCCUUCUCAACUCCCCCAUCUUGCAUGUUGUGACACCUUCACCAAUAACAUAAUCAUGUAUUUC